rnacentral:rRNA from 1 species
CUGGGGCAGCCUAACCAUGCGAGUCGAACGGUACAGGAAACAGCUUGCUGUUUCGCUGACGAGUGGCGGACGGGUGAGUAAUGUCUGGGAAACUGCCUGAUGGAGGGGGAUAACUACUGGAAACGGUAGCUAAUGCCGCAUAACGUCACAAGACCAAAGAGGGGGACCUUCGGGCCUCUCGCCAUCGGAUGUGCCCAGAUGGGAUUGAGCUUGGUGGUGGGGUAACGGCUCACCAAGGCGACCAUCCCUAGCUGGUCUGACAGGAUGACCAGCCACACUGGAACUGAGACACGGUCCAGACUCCUACGGGAGGCAACAGUGGGGAAUAUUGCAGAAUGGGCGCAAGCCUGAUGCAUCCAUGCCGCGUGUAUGAAGAACGCCUUCGGGUUGUAAAGUACUUUCAGCGGGGAGGAAGGGAGUAAAGUUAAUACCUUUGCUCCUUGACAUUACCCGCGAAAGAAGCAGCGGCUAACUCCGUGCCAGCAGGCGCGGAAAU